UGGCGGCCACAGCGGGAAGCCAGGCGGCGACGCCGAGCGGAACCCGAAAAGCCGUCUCAGUUCGGAUUGGAGUCUGCAACCCGACUCCAUGAAGCUGGAUUCGCUAGUAAUCGCGCAUCAGCCACGGCGCGGUGAAUACGUUCCCGGGCCUUGUACACACCGCCCGUCAAGCCAUGGGAGCCGGGAGUGCCUGAAGUACGUGACCGCAAGGAGCGUCCUAGGGUAAGACCGGUGACUGGGGCUAAGUCGUAACAAGGUAGC
rnacentral:rRNA from 1 species